rnacentral:rRNA from 1 species
UACGUAGGGGGCAAGCGUUGUCCGGAAUCAUUGGGCGUAAAGCGCGUGUAGGCGGCUCGGUAAGUCCGCUCUGAAAGUCCGGGGCUCAACCCCCGGGAGGCGGGUGGAUACUGUCGAGCUCGAGUCCGGAAGAGGCGAGUGGAAUUCCUGGUGUAGCGGUGAAAUGCGCAGAUAUCAGGAGGAACACCGAUGGCGAAGGCAGCUCGCUGGGACGGUACUGACGCUGAGGCGCGAAAGCGUGGGGAGCAAACAGG